UUUAAAUUGUUUAUUUUAACAUUAAUUUAUAUGUGAAUUUUUGUGUUAUUAAAAUUUCUUGAUGGAAUUUUUGGUAAGAUAUUGUGCAGUAAAUAAUAUUAUUGAUAUUAGGUUAAUUUAGAUUUGGUAAAUGUUAAAUAGGUUUGGUAAAGGCUGUGCCAGCAUCCGCGGUUAUACAGCAAAAUCAAUUAAACAUUAUUGGCUUUUAAGUAAUUAACAUUUAAAUUUAUAAAUAAGAAUUAGAAUAUAUUAGGGUGAAAUAUAUAAUAUAUUUUGAGUUAUAUUUGUGUAGUGUGAUAUUAUGAAAUUGAAUUUGUAAACUAGGAUUAGAUACCCUAUUAUUUUUAUUGUAAAAUUUGUAUAAGCCGGAGUAUUAAAAGUUAUGGUCUUGAAACUUAAAGAAUUUGGCGGUAUUAUAGUCUAUUUAGAGGAAUUUGUUAUGUAAUCGAUAAUCCACGUUGAACCUUACUUAUAUUAUUUUUUCUGUAUACCUCUGUUUAAGAAUAUAUUUUUAGAUAAAUUUUCUAAAUAUAAAAAUAUUUAAAAUUUCAAGUCAAGGUGCAAUAAUUUAUAAGUUGAAUAAUGAAUUACAAUAAAUUUUAUUUAAAUGAAUUGUUAUUGAAAUAUGAUUAUGAAGGUGGAUUUAAUUGUAAUUUUAUGAAGAUUAUUAAAAUGAUUUAUAGCUCUAUAAUAUGUACACAUCGCCCGUCGCUCUCGUUAUUAAGAUGAGAUAAGUCGUAACAAAGUAGGUGUAUCGGAAGAUGUACCUAGAAAGUUAG
rnacentral:rRNA from 1 species